rnacentral:rRNA from 1 species
GACGAACGCUGGCGGCGUGCUUAACACAUGCAAGUCGAACGGAAAGGCCCUGCUUUUGUGGGGUGCUCGAGUGGCGAACGGGUGAGUAACACGUGAGUAACCUGCCCUUGACUUUGGGAUAACUUCAGGAAACUGGGGCUAAUACCGGAUAGGAGCUCCUGCUGCAUGGUGGGGGUUGGAAAGUUUCGGCGGUUGGGGAUGGACUCGCGGCUUAUCAGCUUGUUGGGGGGGUAGUGGCUUACCAAGGCUUUGACGGGUAGCCGGCCUGAGAGGGUGACCGGCCACAUUGGGCCUGAGAUACGGCCCAGACUCCUACGGGAGGCAGCAGUGGGGAAUAUUGCACAAUGGGCGGAAGCCUGAUGCAGCAACGCUGCGUGCGGGAUGACGGCCUUCGGGUUGUAAACCGCUUUCGCCUGUGACGAAGCGUGAGUGACGGUAAUGGGUAAAGAAGCACCGGCUAACUACGUG